CUCUUUUUCUUUCUUAAAAUAUAAAUCAUUCCACAGUUCUUUUUUCUUCUUCUUCUUGUCAGGAAGGUUCCUGUAGGUCUGAUUGACUUCUAGGUUCUGCUGAGUAUACUACACCAGCUGCUUGUUGUCUGUUCACUCUAAACAUUAGAUUCCAUCAUCAAUUGCUUGUUUAAUUUUUUUCUACUCUUAUAUCUUCCUAGAGUAAUUUCCCUAUAAAAAUAAGUUUCUGUUUUUCACCUUAUCUUCUAAUCCUUAUUUCCCACUAGUCUUUUGAGACCUAAUAAUUAUACAGUUAAGUAUG
rnacentral:lncRNA from 1 species